GAUGAACGCUGCGGCGUGCCUAAUACAUGCAAGUCGAGCGAAUGGAUUAAGAGCUUGCUCUUAUGAAGUUAGCGGCGGACGGGUGAGUAACACGUGGGUAACCUGCCCAUAAGACUGGGAUAACUCCGGGAAACCGAGGCUAAUACCGGAUAAUAUUUUUAACUGCAUGGUUCAAAAUUGAAAGGCGGCUUCGGCUGUCACUGAUGGAUGGACCCGCGUCGCAUUAGCUAGUUGGUGAGGUAACGGCUCACCAAGGCAACGAUGCGUAGCCGACCUGAGAGGGUGAUCGGCCAAACUGGGACUGAGACACGGCCCAGACUCCUACGGGAGGCAGCAGUAGGGAAUCUUCCGCAAUGGACGAAAGUCUGACGGAGCAACGCCGCGUGAGUGAUGAAGGCUUUCGGGUCGUAAAACUCUGUUGUUAGGGAAGAACAAGUGCUAGUUGAAUAAGCUGGCACCUUGACGGUACCUAACCAGAAAGCCACGGCUAACUACGUGCCAGCAGCCGCCGUAA
rnacentral:rRNA from 1 species